AGCGAACGCUGGCGGCAGGCUUAACACAUGCAAGUCGAGCGGGCGUAGCAAUACGUCAGCGGCAGACGGGUGAGUAACGCGUGGGAACGUACCUUUUGGUUCGGAACAACACAGGGAAACUUGUGCUAAUACCGGAUAAACCCUUACGGGGAAAGAUUUAUCGCCGAAAGAACGGCCAGCAGCUGAUUAGCUUGUUGGUAGGGUGAUGGCCUACACAGGCGACGAUCAGUAGCUGGUCUGAGAGGAUGAUCAGCCAAAUUGGGACUGAGACACGGCCCAAACUCCUACGGGAGGCGGCAGUGGGGAAUGUUGGACAAGGGGGGCAUACCUGAUCCAGCCAUGCCGCGUGAGUAAUGAAGGCCCUAGGGUUGUAAAGCUCCUUUGUGCGGGACGAGAAUGACGGUACCGCAAGAAUAAGCCCCGGCUAACUCUGUGCCAGCCGCCGCGGUAA
rnacentral:rRNA from 1 species